rfam:Brassica napus, WGS project CCCW01000000 data, contig: 21839
GGAAUAUAAGAAUCCGUCUUUUAACUUUUAACUAAAAAAAUUAAGAACCGGCUCUUAAAACUCUUAUUUAAAAAUCAGUUUUUAGCUUUUUUAGUUAAAAGUUAAGAGACAAAUUCUUAUAUUCC